rnacentral:rRNA from 1 species
AUUGAACGCUGGCGGCAGGCCUAACACAUGCAAGUCGAGCGGAGUGGUGGACGGGAGCGUAAUGCCUAGGAAUCUGCCAGGUAGCGGGGGAUAACGUCCGGAAACGGGCGCUAAUACCGCAUACUAUAAGAUUAUACUAGGCCGGAUUAGCAAGUUGGUGGGGUAAAGGCCUACCAAGGCGACGAUCCGUAACCGGUCUGCGAGAAUGAUCAGUCACACGGGAACUGAGAAACGGUCCAGACUCCUACGGGAGGCAGCAGUGGGGAAUAUUGGACAAGGGGCGAAAGCCUGAGCCAGCCAUGCCGCGUGUGUGAAGAAGGUCUUCGGAUUGUAAAGCACUUUAAGUUGGGAGGCGUUACCAGCAGAAUAAGCAACGGCUAACUUCGUGCCAGCAGCCGCGGUAAUAC